rnacentral:tRNA from 1 species
UAAAGGAUAAAUAAAAUAUUUUUGCAUAAUAUGAGUUUUAUCUACUACAAAUUUCUUAU